rnacentral:rRNA from 1 species
CACUUCUAAGGAAGGCAGCAGGCGCGCAAAUUACCCAAUCCUGACUCAGGGAGGUAGUGACAAGAAAUAACAAUAAACCGGCUUAUGCCGGUUUAAUUGGAAUGAGUACAAUUUAAACAUCUUAACGAGGAACAAUUGGAGGGCAAGUCUGGUGCCAGCAGCCGCGGUAAUUCCAGCUCCAAUAGCGUAUACUAAAGUUGUUGCAGUUAAGAAGCUCGUAGUUGGAUUUCUGUGGGGACGGAGCGGCUGGCCGCACAUCGCGGUUCGAGCUAGCGCUUUCCCUACAUCCUGCCGCGAACCGUGCUACCAUUAGUUUGGUGGCGCCGGGGAUCGGCUCGAUUACUUUGAGAAAAAUAGAGUGUUCAAAGCAGGCCACAUGCCUUGAAUAAGUUAGCAUGGAAUAAUAACUAAGGACUUCGGUUCUAUUUUGUUGGUGUUCGGGACUGAAGUAAUGAUUGAUAGGGACAGUUGGGGCGGUCUGUAUUCCAAAGCGAGAGGUGAAAUUCUUAGACCUUCGGAAGACAAACAGCUGCGAAAGCGUUCCGCAAGGAUGUUCCCUUUGAUCAAGAACGAAAGUUGGGGGAUCGAAGACGAUCAGAUACCGUCGUAGUCUCAACUAUAAACUAUACCAGCUAGGGAUCGGCCAACGUUAUUUUAUACCGACUUGGUCGGCACCUUAUGAGAAAUCAAAGCAUCUGGGUUCCGGGGGGAGUAUGGUCGCAAGGCUGAAACUUAAAGGAAUUGACGGAAGGGCACCACCAGCCGUGGAGCCUGUGGCUUAAUUUGACUCAACACGGGAAAACUUACCAGGUCCAGACAUAGUAAGGAUUGACAGAUUGAUAGCUCUUUCUUGAUUCUGUGGGUGGUGGUGCAUGGCCGUUCUUAGUUGGUGGAGUGAUUUGUCUGGUUAAUUCCGUUAACGAACGAGACCCCAGCCUGCUAAAUAGCGCGCGUGAGCUUUGCUCGCGGCGAGCUUCUUAGAGGGACUAUGAUGCGCGAUAGCACAUGGAAGUUUGGGGCAAUAACAGGUCUGUGAUGCCCUUAGAUGUUCUGGGCCGCACACGGGCUACACUGGCGCCUGCAACGAGCAUAUCAGCUGGCCCGAGAGGGUCUUGGCUAAUCUUUUGAACCGGCGCCGUGCUUGGGAUUGACCUUUGCAAUUGUUGGUCAUGCAACGAGGAAUGCCUUGUAAACGCGAGUCAUCAGCUCGCAUUGAAUACGUCCCUGCCCUUUGUACACACCGCCCGUCGCUCCUACCGAUGAAUGUUCCGAUGAAAUUUUCGGAGAGCACCUGUGAACUUGGCUCUGCCUUGCGAACGGGAGGCUCAAAGUCACUUAAAUCUGAACAUUUCGAGG